AUUUGAUCAUCAGUACAGGAGCUUAUGCCACAGCAGAGAUCUUGUGGAUUUUUAUGUCGUGGGUCACUGUGAAGGAUCUUGGCUGUCCACAGCGAUAGGGUAUCUCUGCGGUGCAUAGGUGGUUGGUAAGGUGGCUCAGGGAGUUGGCUCAAGUUAAUUGUUGGAAGCAGUGUAAGUGUGAGCUAUCAAAUGUAAAAGGUGUUUUACCUCGAAGUGCU